CUACUUUUCAUAUACAGUCAUUUUUUAUCCCUAUUACUUUUUAGUAGUUUUGUAAGAAACCUUUUUUUUCUGACAAUUUCAAGGGAUUUUUUUUAGUUUAAAUGUUAUUUUCUCAAUUUCAGACAGUGACAAAGCUUACCUAGAAAAGAACUGAUGUGAGGCAGUCGGUACAGAGUAAUUACAGAUUUAGGGCAGAUAGGACAAUUGCCUGUGCUUACGUUAGGUGAUCAUAAACUCCUUCUGCGUAACACAGUUAAAGUAAGCCACGUGCUUUGUAGAAUUACAGUAUGAAAUUCAUUCAUGUCUUUGCGAGACUGGGAAUGAUUACAACACACAAGGGCAAUAGGAGCCCCACAUUACUGCUGAAGAGCAUUGCUCUUUGUUAAGUAGGCAGAAUAAAGAUUUGAAAGGUGGGACAACUUCUGAACUGAUGACAGCAUUAUAAAUAUCUGGGAAGCCACCACCAGAAUUCCCAGCCUUGCAAAUAGUUAUAAUAAAUGGAAAAGUUCUUUUAAGAAAAAUGUGGCUACAAAUCUGAAAGGUCAGGGCAACAAACAACAUACACACCUAUUGAAGAGUGGCUGAGGCCUGGCCUUGAGUCGGCACCCAUGUGUAAGCAGGACAGGGGAGCGCUUGUUCUGGGCUCGGCCUUUUCAGCUGGCUGCACAGGUGCUCUUCUCUGCUCGAGUCACUGUGGCGUGAGAGCAGAGGCUUGCACACCUGUUGGAUCAUUUCAUAGCAUGAAAUACAAUGUAUGUUUUGGCCCAGUGUAUACAUAUAAAACCA